rnacentral:rRNA from 1 species
CGAGUGAAGAGGGAAGAGCCCAAGAUUGAAAGCUGGCGUCUUCGGCGUCCGCAUUGUAAUCUCAAGAAGUGUUUUCCGCUUCGGACCAAGCCUAAGUCCCCUGGAAAGGGGCAUCAUAGAGGGUGAUAAUCCCGUACAUGGCUUGGAGCGCCCGAGGCUUUGUGAUACGCUUUCUAAGAGUCGAGUUGUUUGGGAAUGCAGCUCAAAAUGGGUGGUAAAUGCCAUCUAAGGCUAAAUAUUGGGGAGAGACCGAUAGCGAACAAGUACAGUGAUGGAAAGAUGAAAAGAACUUUGAAAAGAGAGUUAAACAGUACGUGAAAUUGCCAAAAGGGAAGGGUAGGAGGUCAGAGAUGCGGCCUGGGAUUCAGCCUUGCUUUUGCUUGGUGUUUUUCCCAGAUUGCAGGCCAACGUCGGUUUUGGGCACUGGAGAAGGGUAGGAGGAACGUGGCACCCCUCGGGGUGUGUUAUAGCCUCCUACUGGAUACAGCGACCGAGACCGAGGACAGCAGCGUACUCGCAAGAGCGGGCCUUCGGGCACCUUUACGCUUAGG